CCUACGGGAGGCUGCAGUGGGGAAUAUUGCGCAAUGGGCGAAAGCCUGACGCAGCGACGCCGCGUGAGGGAUGAAGGUCUUCGGAUCGUAAACCUCUGUCAGCAGGGAAGAACGGUCACUGUGCUAAUCAGCAGUGAAUUGACGGUACCUGCAAAGGAAGCACCGGCUAACUCCGUGCCAGCAACCGCGGUAAUACGGAGGGUGCGAGCGUUAAUCGGAAUUACUGGGCGUACAGCGCUCGUAGGCGGUAUGUCAAGUCAAGGGUGAAAUCCCCGGGAUCAACGUGGGAACUGCCUUUGAAACUGGCAAACUGGAGUGUGUGAGAGGAAAGUGGAAUUCCAGGUGUAGGAGUGAAAUGCGUAGAUAUCUGGAGGAACAUCAGUGGCGAAGGCGACUAUCUGGCACAUAACUGACGCUGAGGAGCGAAAGCGUGGGUAGCAAACAGGAUUAGAUACCCUUGUAGUC
rnacentral:rRNA from 1 species